GGGGAUGUAGCUCAGUUGGCUAGAGCGCGUGAAUGGCAUUCACGAGGUCAGGGGUUCGAUUCCCCUUAUCUCCA
rnacentral:tRNA from 1 species